rnacentral:antisense_RNA from 1 species
AUUGCAGCUGCCUCUCCCGCCGAGUUGGAGACGGAUGGGCUGGGACGGGUUUUGGGGGGGUGUCCCCAAUUCUGACUGGGAGUGGAGGAACCCCUCCUGAGAUCUCUUGUGGGGGUGCCCCCUCCCCAGGGCACUCCCCAGUCCCUGAGCCAGCCGAGAGGAAGGAGGCCAGCGAUGCGACUGGGGCGGCUCCUUUCUCCUGCACCCCAAAUGUGAGGGAUGCACCCUAAAUUUUGCUCUUUUCAAAAUAGGGGACCAGGAUCUCAGGGGAGAGUAGCUGAGGUAAGUGGGGAGGGAAGUGUCCUCUGUUUUCAGGAGAGACGUGGCGGUUGGGGGGGAGGUUUGGAGGUGCGUGCUGGGGUGGGGUUGGCUUUGUCAGUCUUGGAAUUGGGGGGAUGAUUGGAGAGGCUUUCUCUUAUACCCCUAAACUGCAGCCCCCCAGACGGAAACCAAAGGCUGAGACCAGAGAGCCCCCCAACAUCCCCAGCCGUUAGGAUAGUGUUUAAUUUCUCUUUCACCCCCCACAAAGGCUCUGCCGAGGUGGGAGCUGGGGGCAACUGUUAGUUUGGGGGCUAUGGAGGGUGGUGGAGGAGCAGGAGGCCUUGGCAAGAUUUGAUGGAGGACAGAUAGGGGUGUCCGGGAGGGGUCUGGCAUCUUCGGGGGCCUAAAAAGACUGCUUACAUACACCACCUUGGAUCUUUCAGAUUGCUAAGAGUUUUGGGGGGUGUGUCGGAAGAGGGGGUGGUAAAAGAUGCGAUGGGAUAUAGGAAGAUAACUUCUGGAUUUUAGGGGGUCAUAUUUUGAUUUGCAAAAGGAGUUUUGGCCCUUGGAUUUUGCUUUCUGAGGGGUGUUUUUAAAAAAUCAAGUCCUGGACAGGAGAAAAGGGCUGAGGGAAGGCCUGGAGUUGGGGGUGGGGAGAGGCAUGUUUGUCUCAGCUUAAACGUGGCUCUCUGGGGUGGGCCCGCCUGCCCUGGCCUGGUGGAUGGGCUGAUGGAGGUUGCUGUGGGGGCCGGCUCGGGUCCUCAGGGGCCCUGGGGAGUGGGAACAGCACUGGGGGUUGAAUACCUGGCCCCCCAGGUCCAGAUGGCCCUCUUCCUGGGCUCUGCUGCUCCCCUUCCCCCUGGUCUCCAUUUCCUGCCUUUGGCCUCCAUCUUGUGGCAGGCCCAGGGCCCAGGGCGACUUCCGGCCCCCCUCUCCCAACCAUGUUCCGGCCCCACCACCUCUGGACUGCCAACUCCCAACCCUGCUGGCCUUGGCCCUCUGUCUCUCCUUGCUUUUCUCUUGGGUUCUGACCCAGGGAGAGGAAGGACGGACACAGGAAGCCUUGGGUCCCUGCCCUUGCUGAGACAGGAGGCAGUGUGUUGGCCCCUCCAGUCAUUCCCUAUUUCUUCUGCCUCUGACCCCACCCUAGGGAUCCCCUGAGCUGAGUUCCUACAGAGGGAAGAUGGUCCAAUCUUACUACACUGUGAGCUCAUCCCCAUGGUCCGUCGCCUUCCAGUUGCCUGCUCAGCCCGUCCCUGGUUCCUCCCAAACGUUUUUGGGGGCCAUGUUUGCCUUUUAAGGCUUCUCUAUCCCCCUGCUCCUGGAGGUGGUGCUGGGGUCUUCCCAGCACUGCUAUGUGCUCUCUUCCUUUCAACCCACCCCGGUCCUGCUCCCGCCCCAGCAGCACACUGUGGUUUGUACGGCACUGUGGCCACGUCCAAACCACACUGUGGUGUUAGAGCGAGGGUGGGGGAGGCACCGCUGAGGCUUGGCCCUGGGAGGCCAUCCUGGAGAAGUGACACAAAAAACAUCUGGGGCCUUGUGACAAACUUCUUGCCAGGUGGGCAAGGAGAGGGUGGGGUAUGUAAGCACCCCUCUAAAAUCUCCAGGGCAGUUUCAAGAAUACUGAUGGCCAGAGACCCUGGGAGUAAGUUCUGCCUCAAGAGAACAAAGUGGAGUCUUUGUUGCCCACACCCAGCUUCCCUGGCUCUAGCAGCACAGAAAUAUUGGCACAGGGAAGCGAGUCUGCCAAUAUUGGCUGUGCUGCUCCAGGCAGGGUGGUGAAAACUACCGAGGAGGGGCUGAGCCCCCAUGGGCCGAGGAGAGAAGAGGGAACAGGCCUCUCCUGCUAAUAAUGUUAAGCAGACAGCACGAAGCUGAGAGGGAAAUCUUUAUUGUUUUCUGUAUAAAAAUGUCCAUCAGAUGAAGGUCAAAGGGGUUGGGGGGCAGAUGCUUAUGCGGGAAUAGUGAGGUGGCAGCCCCAGCAGCCUUUCAGCCCUCUCUCGUGCAGGCCUUGCUCGGAGUCCCAGGAGAUCCACAGGUCCGGCAUGAACAGUGAGAGGUCAGAGGUGGAAGGCUCAGCAGGAGAGGAGAGGAGGAUCAGCAGAGGUCAUGAGAAGGCCAGAAUCCAGGGUCAGGCUGUCUGGAACAGGAAGUAAAAUGGGCCGAGAUGGAGCGAGCCCCCAGUGUGCUUCCAAGGCCACUCCCACCUCCCUGAAACACCCUGCUACGUACUGAUCCAAUGCCCUGCGCUGUGUAUGAGAGCACCUUCUCUUCUGAAACCCCUAUACAAGGGAGGGGCCCCUGCGGAGACCGUGCCCUGCCAUCCAGGUGAGCCCUUUCUCCCCAACCCCGUCAGCUGUGUGGGAGGAGGAGGACUCCUACCCUGGUCGAAGUUGAGUUUCUUAGCUGGAGGAGUUUCUCCUAGCCCUUCAAUAUCCACCACGUCACUGUUGGCAUCGGAGUCGUUCAGAGCACUGAGUGUCACAUCUGGGAAGGGGGCAUAAGCUAGGUUCUAGGUUCCCCUGACAGCCUCUCCCCCAGCCCCAAGCUUCCCAAAGCUUUGUGCCUCCUCUCCCCUCCCCUCUGCCCCUCUCUGGGAACCUCCACAGGGACAGGAAGAGAGACUGACCCUUCUUUGACCCAGGCCCAAUUCUCUCACUAAACCUCAGAUGGGACCUUUAACCCCUAGGCAGCAACUCCACAGCCCUCACCAGCCUUCUGUUUCUUUAUGGGGGGACCCCCGGCCUCAGGGACACUGGAGCUGCUGGGAGGAGGGGCAGCUGGAGGAGGUGACAAGACACCAGAUGCCACCUUCUUGGGCCCUUUCUUGGGUGACUCAGCUGGAAGGGGGAUGCCAGAAUCUUCAUAUACCUUGCGUUUCACAGUGGCCUUUAUCUGGGCCCUGAAGAAAAGAGAGAAGAGGUUAGGAAAGGCAUCAUCAGAGAGACUAACAGAAGAGGGGACGGGAGGGGAAGGGGUUCUGGGAGUCCCUUCAUAAGAAUCCAGGUCGGGGCCCCAACCCAUUGGUAGGGUUCUCACUUUCCCGAAGUUUUACACUCACUCAGGAUGGAUGGAGUGUGGAGAGUGGAGUCCCUGAACUGAGUAGUGGGAAAGGCCCAUCUCCUAAUUCUCUUCUGGGAGAGACAUCAGGUAGAGCUUGGUGAUUUACAGGUGGAUUGAGAUUUACUGAUCAACUAGUUCAGGAUCACCAUAUCCCUGGAAACACUGCAGUGGGGUCCUCAAACAUUUAUAUAAAUAACCAGGGGACUUCCAUCAUCAAAUACAAUAACAGCAUCCCAGGCAACCUAAAUUCACAUUCUUGGAAGGAUUACCACAGCAUUUUAGGAACUUCUGACCAACUGUGACAAUUCUAUUCUUUCGGUCCUCAAGGGGAUUCUAAAAAACUAGUGACAAAGUAGGGAAGCAGCUGAGCUGGAAAGGAGUUCUGAGGACGAUGGAACCUUGGGUAAGGAGGAAGAAGGCUGCCCACCCGCCCUUUUCUGGCAGCCACCCUCCCUCACACUGUCCGUUCCUUGAUGACACAGCUGAUGUGAUUAAGAUCGUCCCCAAAUCGC